CAGCAGCCGCGGUAAUACGUAGGGUGCGAGCGUUAAUCGGAAUUACUGGGCGUAAAGCGUGCGCAGGCGGUUGUGUAAGACAGGUGUGAAAUCCCCGGGUUUAUCCUGGGAACUGCAUUUGUGACUGGCGGGCUAGAGUAUGGCAGAGGGGGGUAGAAUUCCACGUGUAGCAGUGAAAUGCGUAGAGAUGUGGAGGAAUACCGAUGGCGAAGGCAGCCCCCUGGGCCAAUACUGACGCUCAUGCACGAAAGCGUGGGGAGCAAACAGGAUUAGAUACCCCUGUAGUCCCUGUCUCUUAUAC
rnacentral:rRNA from 1 species